AGGAUGGAAAAUGAAAAAUAUUUUUUAGUCAUUUGACACAUUCUUUCUAACUCACAUUCUUUCUAACUCACUUUUUUUUUUUUUUUUUUUUUUUUGUUCCUGAAGGUACUAUUGAAAGGCUCUGUGUAACUGCUGGUAUUGGCUGUUACUGGGAUGAAGCAGGGAAAGGUUACUUCC
rnacentral:lncRNA from 1 species